rnacentral:rRNA from 1 species
GUUAACGAACGAGACCUUAACCUACUAACUGGCCGCCUGAGUGGCAACGUUCAGGAGUAAGGCCUCUUAGAGGGACGAUCUGUGAUUAGCAGAUGGAAGAAUAAGGCAAUAACAGGUCUGUGAUGCCCUUAGAUGUUCUGGGCCGCACGCGCGCUACAAUGAUGCAGGCAACGAGUGCUGCUCCUUGGCCGAAAGGCUUGGGGAACCUUGAAAACUGCAUCGUGCUAGGGAUAGAUGAUUGCAAUCGUGCAUCUUGAACGAGGAAUGCCUUGUAAGCGUGAGUCAUCAACUCGCGCUGAAUACGUCCCUGCCCUUUGUACACACCGCCCGUCGCUCCUACCGAUUGGAUGAUCCGGUGAACUGGUCGGACUGAUGAUUGAUACCGUGGGUACGGUAAAAACACAGAAAGUCUAGUAAGCCUUAUCAUCUAGAGGAAGGAG